UACAGAGGUCUCAAGCGUUGUUCGGAUUCAUUGGGCGUAAAGGGUGUGUAGGUGGCGCGCUAAGUCGGGUGUGAAAUUUCGGAGCUUAACUCCGAAACUGCAUUCGAUACUGGCGUGCUUGAGGACUGGAGAGGAGACUGGAAUUCAUGGUGAGCAGUGAAAUGCGUAGAGAUCAUGAGGAAGACCAGUGGCGAAGGCGGGUCUCUGGACAGUUCCUGACGCUGAGGCACGAAGGUCAGGGGAGCAAACGGG
rnacentral:rRNA from 1 species